GAACUGGCCAUCUUGAAGGAUUCCUUCUCCAUAUAUACACACACGUAUAACCUCACGGACAACAGCUUACAUACCAUCUGCAGGAUAUUUGAUUUAACUGGUUCUUCUUUUUACUGCAACAGACAACAAGUUGACAUUUCAGAAGAAGCUGAUCGGAUUCUCUGGGGUUCCAAUCUGCUGCAUCAACUGGAUCUAACAUCUCUUCCACGCCACUCUCACCAGAUGUCAGACUGACCAAGUUCUUCACACUGCAGCCGGUUCAAAAGGGAAUAGUAAUACCUGCAAGGAACUGGAUCCCGUUUUAUCCUAUGACGAGGUGAACUACACUGCACCUGCA